CUCACUCAUAUCUAAAAUCAUCCUAUUCCUACACCUAAACCUCUCAGAUCCCUCAAUGCAGGAUCUCACGUGGCGCCCCUAACAAACCUUCUCCCAAUACUAUUCAUACGACAUCACGAUACGUAUAAACACAUCAACAUCUGUCUUAAACCCCCAGGAUUCUUCCUCAAAGACAGCAUUAAGACAAGACUCUCUACACUUAUCAGGAGGCUCCAGAUACCAUUUGCGACCAGUCAAGGUUAGUAUCCACACACCACUCCAGUCCUCUCACUUUACCCUUAAGCAUACAAUCGAACUGGCUAUAGGGCACAGGCUAAUGCCUU